rnacentral:tRNA from 1 species
GCUCCCAUGGCGUAGUGGUCACUGCACUCGCCUUGCACGCGGGAGACCCGGGUUCGAUUCCCGGCGGGGUUG